rnacentral:rRNA from 1 species
GAUGAACGCUGGCGGCGUGCUUAACACAUGCAAGUCGAACGGUGAAGCGCCUUCCUUUUUGGUGGGUGUGGAUGGGUGGCGGAGGGGUGAGUAACACGUUAGUAACCUGCCCCCUCCUUCUGGAUAACCGCAUGAAAGUGUGGCUAAUACGGGAUAUUCUGGGUCUGUCGCAUGAUGGGUCUGGGAAAGAUAUUGUUUCGGUGGGGGAUGGGCUCGCGGCCUAUCAGCUUGUUGGUGGGGUGAUGGCCUACCAAGGCGGUGACGGGUCGCCGGCCUGAGAGGGUGGACCGUCAUGCAGGGGAUGCGAGGCGCAGCAGACUCCUAGAGGAGGCAGCAGUGAGGAAUAUUGCACGGGGGGAGGAAGGCUGAUGCAACGACGCGGCGGGGAGGAUGGACGCCUGCGGGUUGUGAACUUCUUUCGCGAGUGAAGCAGGCCUGCCUCGUUUGUGGGUGGGUUGACGGUAGCUGGAUAAGAAGCGCCGGCUAACUACGUG